rnacentral:rRNA from 1 species
GACGAACGCUGGCGGCGUGCUUAACACAUGCAAGUCGAACGGAAAGGCCCUGCUUUUGUGGGGUGCUCGAGUGGCGAACGGGUGAGUAACACGUGAGUAACCUGCCCUUGACUUUGGGAUAACUUCAGGAAACUGGGGCUAAUACCGGAUAGGAGCUCCUGCUGCAUGGUGGGGGUUGGAAAGUUUCGGCGGUUGGGGAUGGACUCGCGGCUUAUCAGCUUGUUGGUGGGGUAGUGGCUUACCAAGGCUUUGACGGGUAGCCGGCCUGAGAGGGUGACCGGCCACAUUGGGACUGAGAUACGGCCCAGACUCCUACGGGAGGCAGCAGUGGGGAAUAUUGCACAAUGGGCGGAAGCCUGAUGCAGCAACGCCGCGUGCGGGAUGACGGCCUUCGGGUUGUAAACCGCUUUCGCCUGUGACGAAGCGUGAGUGACGGUAAUAGGUAAAGAGGCACCGGCUAACUACGUG